CCUUUAAUCCCAGCGUCCUAUAAUCCCAGCGUCCUUUAAUCCAGCCGUCCUAUAAUCCCAGCGUCCUAUAAUCCCAGCGUCCUAUAAUCCCAGCGUCCUUUAAUCCCAGCGUCCUAUAAUCCCCAGCGUCCUAUUAAAUCCCAGCGGUCCUUUAAUCCCAGCGUCCUAUAAUCCCAGCGUCCUUUAAUCCCAGACCGCUAUAAUCCCAGCGUCCUAUAAUCCCAGCGUCCUUUAAUCCCAGCGUCCUAUAAUCCCAGCGUCCUAUUAAUCCCAGCGUCCUAUAAUCCCAGCGUCCUAUAAUCCCAGCGUCCUUUAAUCCCAGCGUCCUUUAAUCCCAGCGUCCUUUAAUCCCAGCGUUCCUAUAAUCCCAGCGUCCUUUAAAUCCCAGCGUCCUAUAAUCCCAGCGGUCCUAUAAUCCCAGCGGUCCUAUAAUCCCAGCGGUCCUUUAAUCCCAGCUCCUAUAAUCCAGCGUCCUAUAAUCCCACGGUCCUUUAAUCCCAGCGUCCUAUAAUCCCAGCGUCCUAUAAUCCCAGCGUCCUAUAAUCCCAGCGCCUAUAAUCCCAGCGGUCCUUUAAUCCAGCGUCCUUUAAUCCCAGCGUCCUAUAAUCCCAGCGUCCUAUAAUCCCAGCGGUCCUUUAAUCCCAGCGGUCCUAUAAUCC
ensembl:lncRNA